rnacentral:rRNA from 1 species
UACGUAGGGGGCAAGCGUUGUCCGGAUUUAUUGGGCGUAAAGAGCGUGUAGGCGGUUAUGCAGGUCCGCUGUGAAAACUGGAGGCUUAACCUCCAGACGUCGGUGGAAACCGUAUAACUAGAGUCCGGAAGAGGAGAGUGGAAUUCCUGGUGUAGCGGUGAAAUGCGCAGAUAUCAGGAAGAACACCCGUGGCGAAGGCGGCUCUCUGGGACGGUACUGACGCUGAUGCGCGAAAGCCAGGGGAGCGAACGGG